ACACUCCUGCGGGAGGCAGCAGUGGGGAAUUUUGGACAAUGGGCGAAAGCCUGAUCCAGCAAUGCCGCGUGAGUGAAGAAGGCCUUCGGGUUGUAAAGCUCUUUUGUCAGGGAAGAAACGGUGAAAGCUAAUAUCUUUUGCUAAUGACGGUACCUGAAGAAUAAGCACCGGCUAACUACGUGCCAGCAGCCGCGGUAAUACGUAGGGUGCAAGCGUUAAUCGGAAUUACUGGGCGUAAAGCGUGCGCAGGCGGUUUUGUAAGUCUGAUGUGAAAUCCCCGGGCUCAACCUGGGAAUUGCAUUGGAGACUGCAAGGCUAGAAUCUGGCAGAGGGGGGUAGAAUUCCACGUGUAGCAGUGAAAUGCGUAGAUAUGUGGAGGAACACCGAUGGCGAAGGCAGCCCCCUGGGUCAAGAUUGACGCUCAUGCACGAAAGCGUGGGGAGCAAACAGGAUUAGAUACCCCUGGUAGUCCCA
rnacentral:rRNA from 1 species